UCGGAGAUGUGCAGUCGCGUCGUCUUCCGCGUAGUUUCCCCAAGUUUAUAGCGUGGAUUGUGUUCUGUGGUUUGUGUUAUGAAACAGGAUUUAGGCGCACUAUUGAUCAUCCGAGCUCCUACUAUGUUCAGGUUAAGCGGACAACUUGGAAGACAAUUAUAAAAAAGUACGAGUUCCUUGCACGAUACACAAAUACUCUUACACCGUCGAUGUUUACUUUGGGAGUCUUAUCAUUUGAUAAGUUAAAACACAAGCCAAUUGUAAACAAUCUUAUCAUGGUAACAUUCUUACUGAAGACGCGAAAUUAUCCAGAAUCUGAUACACGCCGACGAGACGCGCUCCGUACGUAAAUCGCCUUUGUAUAACGGUCGGAAUGGAAGUAGAAGUUUGUAUAAAUGGAUAAAUAGUGCACCAAAGAGAGAAGUGAUUUCUAGUCGGUAGUUGCUGAAGUGUAUCAAACUGGAGGACCUACAGACCUUGGACAGCGCUGAUGGCGUUGGUGAUAAUGUUAGUGAGGAAUGCCUUGAGAAGAAUUUCAAUCUCUCCCUGAACUUCUGUCCUGCCUACUUUGAUGGACUUCUGUG